rnacentral:rRNA from 1 species
AACGAACGCUGGCGGCAUGCCUAACACAUGCAAGUCGAACGAGACCUUCGGGUCUAUUGGCGCACGGGUGCGUAACGCGUGGUAACCUGCCCUUAGGUUCGGAAUAACUCCCCGAAAGGUGUGCUAAUACCGGAUAAUGUCUUCGGACCAAGGAUUUAUCGCCUUUGGAUGGGCCCGCGUUGGUUUAGCUAGUUGGUAGGGUAAAAGCCUACCAAGGCGACGAUCCAUAGCUGGUCUGAGAGGAUGAUCAGCCACACUGGGAAUAAGACACGGCCCAGACUCCUACGGGAGGCAGCAGUGGGGAAUAUUGGACACUGGGCGAAGGCCUGAUACAGCAAUGCCGCGUGAGUGAUGAAGGCCUUAGGGUUGUACAGCUCUUUUACCCGGGAUGAUAAUGACAGUACCGGGAGAAUAAGCUCCGGCUAACUCCGUG